rnacentral:other from 2 species
UCUUCCCUGCCUUGUACGACAGGGGCUUAGUUCUCCUACCCAACACGAUCCAAAUCGGGAGCUGGUGUUCGUUUGUGGACGGCAUGUCCGAUCCCCGGAAUCUCCGGUAAGCAGGCGACAGGUUCCCACCUUAUUCAACAAUAAGGUCAGGAGAUACGUCCCACCGGCAAGGCGGGGAUUUU